ensembl:snRNA U6 U6 spliceosomal RNA
GUGCUCGCUUCGGCAGCGCAUAUACUGGGGUUGGAGUGAUACAGAGAAGAUUAGCGUGGCCCCUGCACCAGGAUGACACGCGGGUUCGUGAAGCAUUCCAUAUUUAA